UAAGGAAUAUUGGUCAAUGGACGCAAGUCUGAACCAGCCAUGCCGCGUGAAGGAUGAAGGUCCUCUGGAUUGUAAACUUCUUUUAUCCGGGACGAAAACGGGAUUUUUAUCUCAAUUGACGGUACCAGAGGAAUAAGCACCGGCUAACUCCGUGCCAGCAGCCGCGGUAAUACGGAGGGUGCGGGCGUUAUCCGGAUUUACUGGGUUUAAAGGGUGCGUAGGUGGGCUUAUAAGUCAGUGGUGAAAUCUCCGAGCUUAACUUGGAAACUGCCGUUGAUACUAUAGGUCUUGAAUUAUCUGGAGGUAAGCGGAAUAUGUCAUGUAGCGGUGAAAUGCUUAGAUAUGACAUAGAACACCAAUUGCGAAGGCAGCUUACUACAUAUAAAUUGACGCUGAGGCACGAAAGCGUGGGGAUCAAACA
rnacentral:rRNA from 1 species